AUUGAACGCUGGCGGCGUGCUUUACACAUGCAAGUCGGACGAGUGGCGAACGGGUGAGUAACGCAUCGGAAUGUACCGAGUCGUGGGGGAUAACUGCCGGAAAGGACAGCUAAUACCGCAUAUUCUUCGAUGGGCCGAUGUCUGAUUAGCUGGUUGGCGGGGUAAAGGCUCACCACGGCGACGAUCAGUAGCGGGUCUGAGAGGAUGAUCAGCCACACUGGGACUGAGACACGGCCCAGACGCCUACGGGAGGCAGCAGUGGGGAAUAUUGUACAAUGGGCGCAAGCCUGAUCCAGCCAUGCCGCGUGUCUGAAGAAGGCCUUCGGGUUGUAAAGGACUUUUGUCAGGGAAGCGGUACCUGAAGAAUAAGCACCGGCUAACUACGUGCCAGCAGCCGCGGUAAUAC
rnacentral:rRNA from 1 species